UUGAACGCUGGCGGAAUGCUUUACACAUGCAAGUCGAACGGCAGCACGGGGGCAACCCUGGUGGCGAGUGGCGAACGGGUGAGUAAUGUAUCGGAACGUACCCAGUCGUGGGGGAUAACUAUCCGAAAGGAUAGCUAAUACCGCAUACGUCCUGAGGGAGAAAGCGGGGGAUCGCAAGACCUCGCGCGAUUGGAGCGGCCGAUAUCGGAUUAGCUAGUUGGGGAGGUAAAGGCUCACCAAGGCGACGAUCCGUAGCGGGUCUGAGAGGACGACCCGCCACACUGGAACUGAGACACGGUCCAGACUCCUACGGGAGGCAGCAGUGGGGAAUUUUGGACAAUGGGGGAAAGCCUGAUCCAGCCAUUCCGCGUGAGUGAAGAAGGCCUUCGGGUUGUAAAGCUCUUUCGGCAGGAACGAAAUGGUCACGGUUAAUAACCGUGACUUCUGACGGUACCUGAAGAAGAAGCACCGGCUAACUACGU
rnacentral:rRNA from 1 species